UACGUAGGCAGCAAGCGUUGUUCGGAAUUACUGGGCGUAAAGGGUGUGUAGGCGGUUGUUUAAGUUUGGUGUGAAAUCUCCCGGCUCAACUGGGAGGGUGCGCCGAAUACUGAAUGACUUGGAGUGCGGGAGAGGAGAGUGGAAUUCCUGGUGUAGCGGUGAAAUGCGUAGAUAUCAGGAAGAACACCAAUGGCGAAGGCAGCUCUCUGGGACGGUACUGACGCUGAGACGCGAAAGCGUGGGGAGCGAACAGG
rnacentral:rRNA from 1 species